GGUUAAGCGAACAAGCGUACACGGUGGAUGCCCUGGCAGUCAGAGGCGAUGAAGGACGUGCUAAUCUGCGAAAAGCGCCGGUAAGGUGAUAUGAACCGUUAUAACCGGCGAUGUCCGAAUGGGGAAACCCGGUGCACUUCGGUGCAUCAUCGUUAGCUGAAUACAUAGGCUAACGAGGCGAACCGGGGGAACUGAAACAUCUAAGUACCCCGAGGAAAAGAAAUCAACCGAGAUUCCCCCAGUAGCGGCGAGCGAACGGGGAACAGCCCAGAGCCUGAAUCAGCUUGUGUGUCAGUGGAACGGUCUGGAAAGGCCGGCGAUACAGGGUGACAGCCCCGUACACGAAGGCACACAGGCUGUGAGCUCGAUGAGUAGGGCGGGACACGUGAUAUCCUGUCUGAAGAUGGGGGGACCAUCCUCCAAGGCUAAAUACUCCUGACUGACCGAUAGUGAACCAGUACCGUGAGGGAAAGGCGAAAAGAACCCCGGCGAGGGGAGUGAAACAGAACCUGAAACCGUGUACGUACAAGCAGUGGGAGCCUUCGUAAGAGGGUGACUGCGUACCUUUUGUAUAAUGGGUCAGCGACUUAUAUUCUGUAGCAAGGUUAACCGUAUAGGGGAGCCGAAGGGAAACCGAGUCUUAAUUGGGCGUUAAGUUGCAGGGUAUAGACCCGAAACCCGGUGAUCUAGCCAUGGGCAGGUUGAAGGUUGGGUAACACUAACUGGAGGACCGAACCGACUAAUGUUGAAAAAUUAGCGGAUGACCUGUGGCUGGGGGUGAAAGGCCAAUCAAACCGGGAGAUAGCUGGUUCUCCCCGAAAGCUAUUUAGGUAGCGCCUCGUGAAUUCAUCUCCGGGGGUAGAGCACUGUUUCGGCUAGGGGGCCAUCCCGGCUUACCAACCCGAUGCAAACUGCGAAUACCGGAGAAUGUUAUCACGGGAGACACACGGCGGGUGCUAACGUCCGUCGUGAAGAGGGAAACAACCCAGACCGCCAGCUAAGGUCCCAAAGUCAUGGUUAAGUGGGAAACGAUGUGGGAAGGCCCAGACAGCCAGGAUGUUGGCUUAGAAGCAGCCAUCAUUUAAAGAAAGCGUAAUAGCUCACUGGUCGAGUCGGCCUGCGCGGAAGAUGUAACGGGGCUAAACCAUGCACCGAAGCUGCGGCAGCGACACUAUGUGUUGUUGGGUAGGGGAGCGUUCUGUAAGCCUGCGAAGGUGUGCUGUGAGGCAUGCUGGAGGUAUCAGAAGUGCGAAUGCUGACAUAAGUAACGAUAAAGCGGGUGAAAAGCCCGCUCGCCGGAAGACCAAGGGUUCCUGUCCAACGUUAAUCGGGGCAGGGUGAGUCGACCCCUAAGGCGAGGCCGAAAGGCGUAGUCGAUGGGAAACAGGUUAAUAUUCCUGUACUUGGUGUUACUGCGAAGGGGGGACGGAGAAGGCUAUGUCGGCCGGGCGACGGUUGUCCCGGUUUAAGCGUGUAGGCUGACUUUCCAGGCAAAUCCGGAAGGUUAAGGCUGAGGCGUGAUGACGAGGCACCACGGUGCUGAAGUGACAAAUGCCCUGCUUCCAGGAAAAGCCUCUAAGCAUCAGGUAACAUCAAAUCGUACCCCAAACCGACACAGGUGGUCAGGUAGAGAAUACCAAGGCGCUUGAGAGAACUCGGGUGAAGGAACUAGGCAAAAUGGUGCCGUAACUUCGGGAGAAGGCACGCUGACAUGUAGGUGAAGCCCCUGCGGGUGGAGCUGAAGUCAGUCGAAGAUACCAGCUGGCUGCAACUGUUUAUUAAAAACACAGCACUGUGCAAACACGAAAGUGGACGUAUACGGUGUGACGCCUGCCCGGUGCCGGAAGGUUAAUUGAUGGGGUUAUCGCAAGAGAAGCUCCUGAUCGAAGCCCCGGUAAACGGCGGCCGUAACUAUAACGGUCCUAAGGUAGCGAAAUUCCUUGUCGGGUAAGUUCCGACCUGCACGAAUGGCGUAAUGAUGGCCAGGCUGUCUCCACCCGAGACUCAGUGAAAAUUGAACUCGCUGUGAAGAUGCAGUGUACCCGCGGCAAGACGGAAAGACCCCGUGAACCUUUACUACAGCUUGACACUGAACAUUGAGCCUUGAUGUGUAGGAUAGGUGGGAGGCUUUGAAGCGUGGACGCCAGUCUGCGUGGAGCCGACCUUGAAAUACCACCCUUUAAUGUUUGAUGUUCUAACCUGGCGCCGUGAUCCGGCGUGGGGACAGUGUCUGGUGGGUAGUUUGACUGGGGCGGUCUCCUCCCAAAGUGUAACGGAGGAGCACGAAGGUCAGCUAAUCCUGGUCGGACAUCCACCAGAAUCAGAUCCAGGAGGUUAGUGCAAUGGCAUAAGCUGGCUUGACUGCGAGAGUGACGGCUCGAGCAGGUGCGAAAGCAGGUCAUAGUGAUCCGGUGGUUCUGUAUGGAAGGGCCAUCGCUCAACGGAUAAAAGGUACUCCGGGGAUAACAGGCUGAUACCGCCCAAGAGUUCAUAUCGACGGCGGUGUUUGGCACCUCGAUGUCGGCUCAUCACAUCCUGGGGCUGAAGUAGGUCCCAAGGGUAUGGCUGUUCGCCAUUUAAAGUGGUACGCGAGCUGGGUUUAGAACGUCGUGAGACAGUUCGGUCCCUAUCUGCCGUGGGCGCUGGAGAAUUGAGGGGGGCUGCUCCCAGUACGAGAGGACCGGAGUGGACGCAUCACUGGUGUUCGGGUUGUCAUGCCAAUGGCACUGCCCGGUAGCUAAAUGCGGAAGAGAUAAGUGCUGAAAGCAUCUAAGCACGAAACUUGCCCCGAGAUGAGUUCUCCCUGAGACUGUAAGUCUCCUGAAGGAACGUUGAAGACGACGACGUUGAUAGGCCGGGUGUGUAAGCGCAGCGAUGCGUUGAGCUAACCGGUACUAAUGAACCGUGAGGCUUAACCUUAC
rnacentral:rRNA from 1 species